rnacentral:rRNA from 1 species
ACGCUCGACACCUACGGGAAGCAGCAGUCGGGAAUAUUGCGCAAUGGAGGAAACUCUGACGCAGUGACGCCGCGUAUAGGAAGAAGGUUUUCGGAUUGUAAACUAUUGUCGUUAGGGAAGAAAAAGGACAGUACCUAAGGAGGAAGCUCCGGCUAACUACGUGCCCGCAGCCGCGGUAAUCUGAGCGGGCUGGCAAGGC